AGGAGCUUGGACUGCGCAAAAACCGACUCCUCACCAUUUUCCCGAUUUCUUCCAAAUCUUCUUCAAUAAGUUUUCAGAGAGCAGGUGCCAUGGACCUGCCGACUUUCCGAUGUAACCGUAAUGAAUGCCAGCCAGAAAAUGAGUCUUCUAUUGUAAUUACGGUGACGUAUGAAGCAGAAACUUUCAUGAGAGAGGGUUGGAGCCGGAGUCAUUGCUUUCAGUAAUAAGUAGACCCAACUGUGCAUGCGGACCCCCGGGGUGCGGACCGUGUGAAUGUGCGGGGGAAUGGUUGAAUCAAGACGACACUCCUUCCUGAACUGUAAAGCUGUUGCGCAUACAAUAGUGCAUAAAACAUGUCGUUUCUUCUUGAAUUGAGUGUAUUCUCCAAUACGCCAUUGCAUGAUUACUGUAAAAUGAGCAGGAUGCCGUUGAGACUCUUUUCAGAUGUCUCUUUCCUUUGGUGUGUUUGAAGGUUGAGACGGCUUCUGGCCGAGAUUGCAUCUCAGUAUGGUAAGUUCCUUACUCUGAGGCU